rnacentral:rRNA from 1 species
GUGAAUUGCAGAUCUACAGUGAAUCAUCGAAUCUUUGAACGCACAUUGCGCUCCUCGGUGUUCCGAAGAGCAUGCCUGUUUGAGUGUCAGUA